rnacentral:lncRNA from 1 species
GAUUGAACUUUAUAAAGUUUCUUUAUUGUUUCUGGCUUUUUCACCACCAAGGUACAUACUUGAUAUUUCAACUUAUAUCCCAAAAAGUCUGUUCUUGACUUUUGAGAGUCAAAGUAGCUAUACUUAUUAUUGGGCAUGUGGUAUCUUUGACUUUUAGUUGAAUUCAUAGGUGGUAUGCUAAAAGAUUCUUGCAUCCGUAUAUUGUUGCACCGUAUGACUUCAUAUUUAUAUGGGAUGAAGAUCUUGGAGUUGAGAAUUUUGAUGCUGAAGAAUACAUCAAACUUGUGAAGAAGUACAAAUUGGAGAUAUCAUAGCCCUGCUUGGAUUUAAAAAGUGAGGGUUUGACAUGGGAUAUGACCCAGAGACAAGAAGAACUUGAAGUUCACAAGCAAGUGAAUUGAGUGAAAUUGGAUCAAAGGACACAGAACAAAAGUAUGAGGAAAGUGUCAAGAAAAUUGAGCAAGAUGAAGAGAUUGAAGAAACCAAGCCGGAUGUAGAAAUUGAAAAAAGGAGCAAAAUGGGUUAUUACAAGCAAUCACCCCCGAUUCUUGCGCCUCAACAGAAACAAUACCUCAAGUAGAGACGACAGAACAUGAAGAAAGGAGAAAGUUGUCAACGUAUUAGAAAAAGAUCAAGAUGAGGAUGACGUUACACGCGCACAGGAGGUGACGGUUGAAGGAGGCUUACAAGAAAAAACCCACCACAAUGACGAUAGUGAGAGUUAAGUUGUUGAAGCUAAAGAAAGUGUAGAGGAAGAUGUUGCUGAUGUUUGUGUCUCAACACUUGUCAAAGAAAGUACAAAUAUUCAGUUCCAUUAAGUAUGAUCUUUUGUUUUGUUCAUUUUAAUGUUUGGUUAUUUGUAGUGUUUGGAUAAUGUGUUGAGAAUGAGUUUUAGUGGUUUGAAAAGAAGAAAAGGAAAAGUUAGAUGG